CGCUACGAUCAUAUCACGUUGAAUACACGCCAUCCCGUCCGAUCUGGCAAGUUAACAACGUUGAGUCC
rnacentral:rRNA from 1 species